rnacentral:rRNA from 1 species
UACAGAGGUCUCAAGCGUUGUUCGGAUUCAUUGGGCGUAAAGGGUGCGUAGGCGGCGCGGUAAGUCGGGUGUGAAAUCUCGGAGCUUAACUCCGAAACUGCAUUCGAUACUACCGUGCUUGAGGACUGGAGAGGAGACUGGAAUUUACGGUGUAGCGGUGAAAUGCGUAGAUAUCGUAAGGAAGACCAGUGGCGAAGGCGGGUCUCUGGACAGUUC